rnacentral:rRNA from 1 species
GAUGAACGCUAGCUACAGGCUUAACACAUGCAAGUCGAGGGGCAGCAUGGUCUUAGCUUGCUAAGGCCGAUGGCGACCGGCGCACGGGUGAGUAACACGUAUCCAACCUGCCGUCUACUCUUGGACAGCCUUCUGAAAGGAAGAUUAAUACAAGAUGGCAUCAUGAGUCCGCAUGUUCACAUGAUUAAAGGUAUUCCGGUAGACGAUGGGGAUGCGUUCCAUUAGAUAGUAGGCGGGGUAACGGCCCACCUAGUCUUCGAUGGAUAGGGGUUCUGAGAGGAAGGUCCCCCACAUUGGAACUGAGACACGGUCCAAACUCCUACGGGAGGCAGCAGUGAGGAAGAUUGGGCAAUGGGCGAGAGCCUGAACCAGCCAAGUAGCGUGAAGGAUGACUGCCCUAUGGGUUGUAAACUUCUUUUAUAAAGGAAUAAAGUCGGGUAUGGAUACCCGUUUGCAUGUACUUUAUGAAUAAGGAUCGGCUAACUCCGUG